GUUAUUUUUGUUGCAACUUCAUAAUUGUAAUUUUGCUACUGUUAUGAAUUGUAAUGUAAACAUCUAAUCUUCAGGAUAUCUUAUAUGUGACCUCUGUCAAAAGGCUGUUUGACACCCCCCCCCCGAAAGAGGUUGUGACCCACAAGUUGAGAACUGCAGCCAUAGAGGAAGGGCAAGCACCCUGGAGUCCUUUCUCUUCUGGCAACAGCUCUGCUUGCAUCUGCUACUGAGGGAGCCUGCCAUUCCUUCUUCCCUUUUGCGCAUGGCUGCGGCUCAAGCCACUGGAAGAAUGAAGCCUCUGUCAGAGAAAGGCAACUCCUUGUGAACCAGUGCGCCUUUCCCUGGCAUGGCAGCUGUGGACAGCAGGUAGAGUCUGACUAGGGCUGCUUUUAGGAACAGCUGGGACAUUGUUCUGUCGGCUGCACAGCUGGCCAGGGUUCCCCAUUGCUCCUGAAACCACAGAGAAGAGUGAAAGCCAUUGUUGUUGACAUCUCUAUAAAAUGUCAGCAGGGGUGAAACACUCUAGAAACUUCUGUGCCCAGCUUUAGGAGAAAUGAAAGUUGGUUGCUUGUCCUUCUGUGGCUAAGCUAUGAGAGUUUGAGAUGAACCUUUGCUGCUAUCAAGAUGCCCCUCUUGCAGCUUGGAAUCUGUUUCUGGAGUGAGAACGUGUGACUUACAGAGGCCAGAGCUAAAACAAAAUCCCAAUACUCAAGUGCUGCUCAUAAAUAUUCCAAAUAUUCCAUCUUCAUGUAGAUUGGAAGACACUGCUUGUGCUCAGCUCCUAGGCAUUUUGGGCUAACUUCCCAUUUUAUAAGCGGACUCCAUGUUUUGAUCAUUUCCCAAUGAAGGGCUCAGGAUAAUUCACUUUUUAGGGCCAGUAUAAUAAUUUUAAUUUCAAAUGAUUUUUCCAUUAAAAAAUAAAAGCUAAAUGUGAAUAAAGAGAUGUGUUUGGGUUGGGCAUGGUGGUAUCACCUGUCUGUGAUCCCUUUUGGAGGCUGAGGCAGGAGAAUGGUGAAUGCUAAGUCAGCCUGGGCUGUAAUGUAAGGCCUUGUCUCAGAAAACAAAGCAAUAAAACCAGGUAACAGCAUCGUGGCUAUGGUUUAGUGGGAGAGUGCUUACCUAGCACAGAGAGGAGCCCAAUUCUAUCCCAGAAUCAUGGGAAACCAACAAGGCAAAAGGUUACUGUGGUUAUAAGUAAAUCAAGUUACUUUAAGUUUCUUUGUGCUUCUUCCAAACUGAAACUCAGGGCCAUGUGUGACAGAGAUGAGUACCCUACCUCUGAGCCACACCUCCGGACUCAAAAUCAAGUUAUCCGUAAAGAGACUAAUGACAACUUUUGACAGUCACCAAAUAUCCUUUCCAUGUUUGACUUGUGAACAUAAAACCAAAGUAAUUCUGUGUUUAUGGAAACUGUUUGGAGCUGAAUUUACUGUGAACUUUUAAUGAUAUUUUUUUUUUCCAAAGUCAAUCUCGUUGCUGAUGAAGACACAGAAGACAGUGACACCUGGGUCACGCCAGGAAGCCAGAGCUAUGAAGGCCUCAGGGUUGGGUCAUCCGAGAAGGGUCAUGCUAAAGGAAAAGACAGCGACAUGCCUCAGCAAACAGCAAUCCCACAGUAUCUACUUUACAAAACGUUUAAAAAAUGUCAAAGGGGAACCAGUAAGAAUGAAGACUCUGAAGAGAUUUAAUGGCUUCUCCUUUCUACAAGUGACAAACAAGUAGAGUCUCUAGCAUGCUGGAUUUGAGAGUAGGACUCAGAAUAAAAUAAGCAUUCAAACAGACACAGGUCCAAUCACAGCUGUUCAUACUCCAGUUAUUAAUUGUAAGGUACAAUCCCUGAUGGAUGGGGAUCUGCAAUUUUAAGAACAUUAACAACUAAUAAUGAAAUUGGAAAAACAAAAACAAAAACAAAAGAAAAGAAAACUUGAGGAAAAAAAAAAAGGACCAUAGAAAGAGACCCAGAUGGCUUGUGGGAAACUCCGAGAUCUGCCAGGGAUGGGAGCAGAGGAUUUCUUGUGAAUGUGUGAUUGUAACUUGUUCCUGUAGGAAAGAGGGACAGCACCGGACUCCAGAUGCCUGUGUGGCAGAAACAUUGUUGUCUGACGCUGCUCAUUG